rnacentral:lncRNA from 1 species
UUGUGUUGGCCUUUGGUGCUGUAUCCGCGAUCAUGCAGGUAACAUGAUAGUUGCUCAUGCAUCACCUCCUGCUUCGAAGUUAUGGAAGGAGAAACUGUCUCUCUAUCGAGUUCUCUUCAGUUUCUAAUCUCCUUUGGUCUUUGAAAUGUAAUGUAAAGGCAUUGUCGAUAAGCUGAAUAACACCAACCUAGACAGUUCAGAAUGUGGUACCAUUAUUUUCAAAUCUCAAUCUAUUUUUGUCAUGUAAUCAUACCUUCAAAGUGAUUUUUGUUAGGAGGCUAGCCAAUGAAGUUGUCCAUGCUUUAGCAAAAGUGGCUUCUACUUAUCCUAGCUUCCAAGUCUUUAGUCAUGUCCCCCA